GAAAGAAAAUUUUUUUAAAAAAGUACAUAUACACAGACGAUUGAACCCUAGAUACAUGUGGUUGGCCCUUUUCAUUCCUCUGCCUUGUAUGCAACAAAACCAAAAGUAAAUAUAACAAGAAGCAGAGGAAGAAGACACUUGAAAAGGCUAUAUAUAUAUAUAUAUAUAGGAAACUAAGUAACUGCUAGCUAUCGAGAAAAAGGAAAAGAAGGUUGGCUAGAGCAUGAUCAGUUUAUUGUCUUCUUGGUGCUGUCAUCGCUGAGAACAUUAAGCAAGACUGUGCUCUUGCACUUGGGGCAUUUGGGAUUCACAUCUGAUAACAUCACGUACAUGAGACAUCGAGGACAACCCACCAGCAUCAUGGAACUCGUCUCUAGACUGCUCGCGUAAUUACUCAUCCCUUGGUCACUCUCCGAUGACACGCAUGAGCUCUUCGGUGACAUUUCCGAUGAAGAGGCGCCAGAUUCCGCUGCUUCACUAUUUGCCCUAGGCGGCGACAGAUUCAGCUUCAAUUCCAGCUUAGGACUAUUAUGUCCUCUUCCACUCAUUUCAACCUUAACUUAGCAACUAGAGCUACCCACCCACCAAGACGGACGAAGGCUUUGUGUUCUUGUUUAUUUUGGACCCUUUG
rnacentral:misc_RNA from 1 species